GAUGAACGCUGGCGGCGUGCCUAAUACAUGCAAGUCGAGCGAACGGACGAGAAGCUUGCUUCUCUGAUGUUAGCGGCGGACGGGUUAGUAACACGUGGAUAACCUACCUAUAAGACUGUGAUAACUUCGGGAAACCGGAGCUAAUACCGGAUAAUAUUUUGAACCGCAUGGUUCAAAAUUGAAAGACGGUCUUGCUGUCACUUAUAGAUGGAUCCGCGCUGCAUUAGCUAGUUGGUAAGGUAACGGCUUACCAAGGCAACGAUGCAUAGCCGACCUGAGAGGGUGAACGGCAACACUGGAACUGAGACACGGUCCAGACUCAUACGGGAGGCAGAAGUAGGGAAUCUUCAGCAAUGGGAGAAAGACUGACGGAGCAACGCCGCGUGAGUGAUGAAGGUCUUCGGAUAGUAAAACUAUGUUAUUAGGGAAGAACAUAUGUGUAAGUAACUGUGCAAAUCUUGACGGUACCUAAUCAGAAAGCCAAGGAUAACUACGUG
rnacentral:rRNA from 1 species